CCUACGGGAGGCAGCAGUGGGGAAUAUUGGGCAAUGGGCGCAAGCCUGACCCAGCAACGCCGCGUGAAGGAAGAAGGCUUUCGGGUUGUAAACUUCUUUUAAGAGGGAAGAGCAGAAGACGGUACAUAUUGAAUAAGCCACGGCUAACUACGUGCCAGCAGCCGCGGUAAUACGGAGGUGGCAAGCGUGGUACGGAUGUACGGGGUGUACAGGGCGUGCAGCCGGGAAGACAAGGCAGAUGUGACAUCCCGCGGCUCAACCGCGGAACUGCAUUUGAAACUGUUUUUCUUGAGUACCGGAGAGGUCAUCGGAAUUCCUUGUGUAGCGGUGAAAUGCGUAGAUAUCUGGAAGAACACCAGUGGCGAAGGCGGCUCACUGGACGGCACCUGACGGUCAGGCGCGAAAGCGUGGGGAGCAAACAGGAUUAGAUACCCGAGUAGUC
rnacentral:rRNA from 1 species